rnacentral:lncRNA from 1 species
GCACCCAUACCCACUCACCCACCCCCUUGCCCCAGACAGGGGAAGGGAAAAGUGUUCCCUUUAGGCUGCUGGGCAGAGGAAUGAGUAAAGUGAAGAAUGUCCUUAAUGUGGGUAGGGAAGGGGAGGAGAGUGGCCCAAGCCCUCAGCUCCCCUCCUGCUCUGCUGAGCAGAAGGGCAGAUGAUGUGAAAAAAAUGUCCUCAUGCAUACUGGAGAGGGGGAAGGGAGCAGCUCCCCCUGAGUCCCUCUGCCUUUUUAGUAACAAACUCUGGAAGGCAACAGUGUGUGUGCCUACCUUCACAGCUCUAUACAAAUGUCAGCUGUUACUGUUGCUGAUGAUGAUAUUGUUGUUUGAUGUUGUUACUGACAGCAGCCUACAGACUGGUCAGUAGUAAUAGAGGAGGAAAAAUCAGGCAGAUGCUUCAUGUAACUCCAACUUCAAUCGUUUCCAGAAUGGAUCAGGCUCUACAUUCUUGCCAAACCUGCCAGCACUUUCAACUCUCUGCCAGUCAAUCUCUUUGCAAAAAUUGAAGGAGGUAAGAGGUAGCCAGGUAAGAAGGAAGUGGAGAGAGCAGUAUCUGGGCUAGGGUAAAGGAAUGAGUGUUGAAUUUUUCUCCUUUCCCUACCCCAGCCAGAGGCAGGAAGCCAGGUGCUCAUUUAAUUAAACUUUUUGUCUGCCUGGCAAGGACAAAACACAUUCUACUAUAUUCCAAAAGUGUUCCCUAAAGAAAGUCCUCUGCCUCCAGCUGUGAAACUGAUUGAUGUUCUUAAAGCCCAGAGAAGCUGUGAUUGCUCUUUCAAGGCAGAAAAAAAUUCCACUGGGUGUGGUGUGUGUGUAUGUGUAUGUGUGUUUA